GACGAACGCUGGCGGCGUGCUUAACACAUGCAAGUCGAACGGAAAGGCCCUGCUUUUUUGGGGUGCUCGAGUGGCGAACGGGGGAGUAACACGAGAGUAACCUGCCCUUGACUUUGGGAUAACUUCAGGUAACUGGGGCUAAUACCGGAUAGCAUCUCCUGCAGCAUGGUGGGGGUGGGAAAGUUUAGGCGGUCGGGGAUGGACGCGCGGCUUAUCAGCUUGUUGGUGGGGUAGUGGAUUACCAACGCAUUGACGGGUAGCCGGCCUGAGAGGGUGACCGGCCACAAUGGGACUGAGGUACGGCCCAGACUGCUACGGGAGGCAGCAGUGGGGAAUAUUGCACAAUGGGACGAAGCCUGAUGAAGAAACGCCGCGUGCGGGAUGACGGCUUUCUGGUUGUAAACCGCUUUAGCCUGUGACGAAGCGUGAGUGACGGUACUGGGUAAAGAAGCACCGGCUAACUACGUG
rnacentral:rRNA from 1 species